GAACUGAGGAUACAGUGAAACAACUGACUGAAGAGAGAACAAAGCUCAACAUAAUCUUGAAUGGCAUCAGUGCCACCAACAAGAAUCUGACAAAAGAAAAAGAAGGGCUGGAAAAGAAGCUGAAAGACGUUGAAUUGCAGCAUUCCUCCCUGACAGAAGAAAACAACGAGUUAAAGAUGAGCAAUUUUAGUGAGUAAAA